rnacentral:rRNA from 1 species
UACAGAGGUCUCAAGCGUUUGUUCGGAUUCAUUGGGCGUAAAGGGUGCGUAGGCGGCGCGGUAAGUCGGGUGUGAAAUCUCGGAGCUUAACUCCGAAACUGCAUUCGAUACUGCCGUGCUUGAGGACUGGAGAGGAGACUGGAAUUUACGGUGUAGCGGUGAAAUGCGUAGAUAUCGUAAGGAAGACCAGUGGCGAAGGCGGGUCUCUGGACAGUUCCAUGACGCUGAGGCACGAAGGUCAGGGGAGCAAACGGG